UCCGAAUGGGGAAACCCAGUGUGUUUCGACACACUAUCAUUAACUGAAUCCAUAGGUUAAUGAGGCGAACCGGGGGAACUGAAACAUCUAAGUACCCCGAGGAAAAGAAAUCAACCGAGAUUCCCCCAGUAGCGGCGAGCGAACGGGGAGGAGCCCAGAGCCUGAAUCAGUGUGUGUGUUAGUGGAAGCGUCUGGAAAGGCGUGCGAUACAGGGUGACAGCCCCGUACACAAAAAUGCACAUAUUGUGAGCUCGAUGAGUAGGGCGGGACACGUGGUAUCCUGUCUGAAUAUGGGGGGACCAUCCUCCAAGGCUAAAUACUCCUGACUGACCGAUAGUGAACCAGUACCGUGAGGGAAAGGCGAAAAGAACCCCGGCGAGGGGAGUGAAAAAGAACCUGAAACCGUGUACGUACAAGCAGUGGGAGCCUCUUAAUGGGGUGACUGCGUACCUUUUGUAUAAUGGGUCAGCGACUUAUAUUCUGUAGCAAGGUUAACCGAAUAGGGGAGCCGAAGGGAAACCGAGUCUUAACUGGGCGUUAAGUUGCAGGGUAUAGACCCGAAACCCGGUGAUCUAGCCAUGGGCAGGUUGAAGGUUGGGUAACACUAACUGGAGGACCGAACCGACUAAUGUUGAAAAAUUAGCGGAUGACUUGUGGCUGGGGGUGAAAGGCCAAUCAAACCGGGAGAUAGCUGGUUCUCCCCG
rnacentral:rRNA from 1 species